rnacentral:rRNA from 1 species
UACGUAGGGCGCAAGCGUUAUCCGGAAUUAUUAGGCAGUAAAGAGCUCGUAGGCGGUUUGUCGCGUCUGCCGUGAAAGUCCGGGGCUCAACUCCGGAUCUGCGGUGGGUACGGGCAGACUAGAGUGAUGUAGGGGAGACUGGAAUUCCUGGUGUAGCGGUGAAAUGCGCAGAUAUCAGGAGGAACACCGAUGGCGAAGGCAGGUCUCUGGGCAUUAACUGACGCUGAGGAGCGAAAGCAUGGGGAGCGAACAGG